rnacentral:rRNA from 1 species
GACGAACGCUGGCGGCGCGCUUAACACAUGCAAGUCGAACGGAAAGGCCUGCUUUCCCUUGUGGAUUGCGGGUACUCGAGUGGCGAACGGGUGAGUAACACGUGAGUGAUCUGCCCCCAACUUGGGUAUAAGCCUGGGAAACUGGGUCUAAUUCCCGAUAGGACUGCAGGGUGGUUCCUGUGGUGGAAAACGAUUUUCUAGUGGUUGGGGAUGAGCUCGCGGCCUAUCAGCUUGUUGGUGGGGUAAUGGCCUACCAAGGCGGCGACGGGUAGCCGGCCUGAGAGGGGGGACGGCCACAUUGGGACUGAGAUACGGCCCAGACUCCGACGGGAGGCAGCAGUGGGGAAUAUUGCACAAUGGGCGGAAGCCUGAUGCAGCGACGCCGCGUGGGGGAUGACGGCCUUCGGGUUGUAAACUCCUUGCGACCGCGAGGAAGCCACCUGGUUGGAAGGGUGGUGACGGUAGUGGUAGAAGAAGCACCGGCUAACUACGUG